UUCUAUGGCGGUUCAGGCAGGGGAGACUCAUGUCUCGCCGGUGGAUACCCGGUACUGCGAACCCUGUCUGAACUACCACCAAU
rnacentral:antisense_RNA from 1 species